rnacentral:rRNA from 1 species
UACGGGGGGGCAAGCGUUGUUCGGAAUUACUGGGCGUAAAGGGCUCGUAGGUGGCCAACUAAGUCAGACGUGAAAUCCCUCGGCUUAACUGGGGAACUGCGUCUGAUACUGGUUGGCUUGAGUGCAGGAGAGGAACGCGGAAUUCCAGGUGUAGCGGUGAAAUGCGUAGAUAUCUGGAGGAACACCGGUGGCGAAGGCGGCGUUCUGGACUGCAACUGACACUGAGGAACGAAAGCCAGGGUAGCAAACGGG